GGGGGCGUAAAGGUUUCGACGGGGAUUCUGAAUCUUGGUAAGCGAGUAGAGCGGGCGGAAGCUCUUUAAUAGCCGCACCUAAAUAUAAACGCUAAAUCUAAUACUAGAACUUUAGCUUACGCUGCAUAAUUGCGGCUCGUCCUUGAUUUGAGUACCACGGCUUAUCUUGGGCGCACAUGAGUGGUGAACGUCUUCCGGGCGAGCCUGUAACCCGGUUGAUGUACAGAAGGCUACCGCAUCAGCAGCCUGUUUAUCGGCUUGCGGGCGCGGGAAAUUUAUAUAGAUAAACUACACUCGUAGAAAGCCUUGACGACGGAUUUUCGGACGGGGGUUCGACUCCCCCCGCCUCCACCA
rnacentral:tmRNA from 1 species